UACAUUCAUCCCAUCACAUGAUGCUACAUUAUUUCCAGUAAUUGUCAGACAUUGCUCAGAACAUGUGAAGUAAAAUGUUACCUGUGUACUAUUCAUGACUUCCUGUAUAAACAGUACCAAAAAUGAUAAGUCUAUGAUCUUCUUGGUCCUUGUCAGAGCUUCAUCCUUAUUUUCUAUGUAAAUUUAGUCUGUAACUCUGAAGCCCCAUGUGUCCUAUUGGUUAAUAUUAUCAAAAGGCCUUCUGGGAAUAACAUGACAGUUAUAUUUCUCUAUCAUACUACUUUUGGAUCACUGCUGCCUCUUUGAAGAGCAAAUUAUAUCCAUCAAAACAUCAGAUACACACACGCACAAAUUAACAGUUUGACAGUGGUAUGUAUGUACAGUCAACAGCAUACUAGAUAUAAAAAAAAAGACAAAACUGAUUCCUUAAUGAGUUUGUGGUGGCUCUAAAUAACAUUCAAGUAUUAUCUAACAAUGACACCAGAGCAGGUUUAAUUGAAACAGCUAACAAUAACAAACCAUGUCUGCUCUGAGCUUUACAUAGUUGCCGCACACCCUAUAAUAGUACUAGAACUAAAUAAAUGCAUAAGCUCCCUGUUCUGGAAAAAUUGAGACCCUGUUUGACACAAAGAGGGACUCCAAUACAUCAUUGGCAGUUUGCACCGAUAUAAAAUGUUGUCAGUGUUUACAGGACUUUACUUCACCACUAGAAGUUACUAUGCUACUACUGCUAAGGCACCAGAAAAAUACACUGUAUUUUCUGUAUUUUUACUCUGCUGUAUUUAGAAUGUAUUUGAUACAUUAGUGCAUACUUUGCACAGUUAUCAACUCUUUUAUCAUGAAUUCAAUACUUUCUCUGGUUUUGUGUAUAUUAUAUAAUUUAGUGUAUGCUCAUAAAUUUUAUGAUAGAUGUGAUAAUUAACUAUGCAAAAACUGUAAUUUAAAGUUGGCAUAAAUCAUCUACAUUCUGCUGGGAUAUUACGUAAACAUUGUUUUUGGUUGUUACUGGUUAAAACAGUCAGUGCGCGAUAAAUAGUGAUAUCUAGUGGUAAAUCUUUUUUUUUUUUAAAAUAAAAAAAUAUGUGAAGUCACAUUAAAGCCGCUGUUUGUUUUGUCUGGUCUGUUCUGUUCUGAGCGAUGGCAGUACAACGUGGGGACUCUGUGAACAGUCCUUCCUCUGGAGAUAUAAACAACUCAUCCAAAAGUUUUUGUGCUAUUAUGUACCAAUGAAAACAUAAUUAUGGAUAUUAUAUUUCAACUCUGGAGUUAGAUCUUUGUGAAUUCACCUAAAUCUCACUCACUGAGACAUUAAAAUGUAUAGGACUCAUCUUCCAAAAACAAGGUUACUUUGAUUUUUUUUAAUCUAGCAUUUCAAAUUUUUCAAAACGGUCCCUUUUUCUUGUUCCUGCAGUUACACAGUAUUUCACUUCCUUUAAUACUUCCUCUGUAGAAAAUUAUCUCCUUCAG